GACGAACCGUGCGAACGUUGUUCGGAAUCACUGGGCUUAAAGGGCGCGUAGGCGGCCCCCUUGGUCGUGGGUGAAAUCCCCCAGCUUAACUGGGGAAGGGCCUACGAUACCGGGGGGCUCGAGGGAGGAAGGGGCGGUCGGAACUGUCGGUGGAGCGGUGAAAUGCGUUGAUAUCGACAGGAACGCCGGUGGCGAAAGCGGACCGCUGGCCCUCUUCUGACGCUGAGGCGCGAAAGCUAGGGGAGCAAACGGG
rnacentral:rRNA from 1 species